UGCUCCUGCUGCUGCUGGGGGGCCCCCGCCCCCUCCGCCGCCGCCUGGGUGAGGCAGGUCCGGGCUCUGCAGACUGCUGAAGCCGCCGCCGGCCCCGAGCCCCCCGCCUGGCAGGAGGUUACUGGGGCUGUUGAGCAAGGGGUGGUUGGGGGACUCCAUCGACGGGGGCAGCUUUGAGCCCGGCAGGAGAUUCACAGACGGCGUCGAGGUGGCCAAGCCCACAUUGGGGGACUCGGCGGCGGUCCCCUCGCCGGCUGCCGCUGCGGUCGCUGCUGUCGCCGCCGGGAUCUUCCGAAGACCGUCCACCCCCCCGUGGUGGUGGUGCUGGGCUUGGGGCGGCGAGGGCUGAAGCGGGGGCUGGUAGUGCUGGGGGAGGGGAUGGUGGUCUCCCGGUGGCUGCUUGGGGUGGUGGAAGUCCGGUGGGUGGCGGUGGUGGCGAUGGUGCGGGUGGCGCGGGUGGCUGAACUGCUGCUGUUGCUGUUGCUGUUGCUGUUUCUGGACCUGCUCCUGUUGGAGCUGCUGCUCUUGCUGCUGCUGUGAGAUGUACUGGUCGGGGGUGUUGAGCGGCGGCGGCUGCUGCUGCUUCAAGUCCUGAGGGUGGGGAGGGUGGGGGGGGUUGAACUCUUUCCUCUCCUGGCUGCUCAGCUGCUGCUGCUGCUUGCUGAAGUCCUGGGGGGAGGAGGUAGUGGAGGAGGAGGAGGACGAGGAGGAGGAGGAGGGGUGGUGCAGACUCUGUUUGAAGUCCUGGGAGGGGAGGAGGUGGGUCGCACCCGCUUUCGUGCUGCCGAUGGGAUGGUGGCUGGGGAGUUUUUCGGGGAGCCCUGACCCUGAGAGUUGCUGCUGCUGCUGCUGCUGCUGUGUUAGCCCCAGCAGCAGCUCAUCUUGCAUGAUGAGUGGGUGCUCCUACAAAUCGGCUUGCGGUGGCCAUGCUGGACUUGGACCCUGCUACCAUCAGAGCAUUGGAAAGGGGAAAACUGAGAAGUCUCCCGGCCUACCGUCCAACUCCUUCUUUUUGCUGAUGUUCAACCUGCUGACCAGAUUCUUGGCCUGGUCCCUGCCUGGGUGAUGCCUGGUGUCUUUGUGGUCCAAGGGCUAGUCACUCCUGACUUUUGGUGGUAGACUAUUGGUACAGCAUGAGGCAAACAUUUUCAGACAUGGCUAGUGGGAUGAUUUGCUUUCCUUGACUUUACUUAUUUGUUUUAAAUAUAACAACUGUGUGUGUGUGUGUGUGUGUGUGUGUGUGUGUGUGUGUGUGUAUGUGGUGCAUUGGGAAGAGAAGCUAUGUAAAAAUAAAAAAAAUAAUUUUUUAAAAGAAAAUAAA
rnacentral:lncRNA from 1 species